AUUAGGAUUUUGCACAAUGUUUCCGAGAAGUUGACGGGAAGCUCUUCUCUAGCAGUUUAGCACGCACAUUGAUCGAUUUAGGAGUUUAUCAGCAAUACUAUCAGGAUUCAGGAUUCACGAUUCAGGAGUUCAGGACUGUUCCUGAGAACCUGUAACUAUGUUCGGAAAAGCUUGUUCGCGAUCAAGGGUAGCUUGGCAGUUGUGUCGCGCUACUAAAGUGACGGAAGGAAUUAAUCAGUAGUAGUACUAGCUACCAGGACUGUUCCUGAGAAUGUAUUCAUUGAGUUCGGAAAAAGCUUGUUCCGGUCAAGGCUAGUUUGGCAGUUUUGUGGCAUUCGUUCAAAUAGUUCCGAGUAUCUGUUGAACAAGAAUAGAUCAUUACUAAAAUGAUGAACGACCAACUUAAGUUGGAGAAAGGAAAGAAAUGUUAGAUGCAACCAGAUAUAUAACAACAGCUCUAAUAAAAGUGCAGAUAUGAAACACCAAGUAACAACUGUCAGAAAUAAUCUGCAGCUUGGUAUGACAGAGCUCCGCCCAGUCAAUCUCCAUCAUUGGGAGUGAAAUAUAUUAAGGGGUAUUUUUGUAAAUAAAUUGUCAAAAUAUACAAUCUAUAUAUCUAAAUAUACAAUCUUUUUUUAUAUUAAAAUUAUUUUCUUUUAUUUUUAUUUUUUAAAGUAUCAAAUAUAUUGUACAUCGCAAUUUUUAGAUUGUUUUUUUCAUUAUAAUUACGAGAAUGCCACUUAUAUGCCAAUCAAGGGGAUUGUUUUGAAAUUUCUCGGUCUGA